AAGUAUUACCACAGGGAUUUGGACAGAGUCUUGUGGCCAUGGCAGCUGAAUUUGUGUUCAGGGCUUCUCUUCUCUUGGCCAUGAUGUGGUGUGCAUAUGGCCUCCCAGUCACAGGUUCUCAAUUUGGCGAACCACAACAAUCUCAGCCAGAUGAAAAUGGAAUGAUUCCUGAGUUCAGGCCAUUGACUAGCUGGAGAUUACAUCAACAUUUUAGCCAAGGUUGGCCAAAUUCUCCAAGCUCCACUGAGGUUCAGCAGCAAGAUCCACCUCAGGCCCCUGGAUUACAUCCACGGUCCAGCCAAGAUCUGUCUCAAAUGACGACCUCCGCUGAAGCCAAGGUCCCCAUGCCUAGUCAAAGGUCCCCAACUAGUUCUGGAUAUGAAAUGUUUAAGGAUGCCCCUGUAGCUUUCGAUUCUAGUGAACCACUUGAAGGCCAGUUGAAUCACUCUGCACCUGUUCAAGGAGUUCCUCAAGCAAGUCCAGUGGAACAAUGCCUGCUCCUGUUGAAACUUAUCCGUAAACAUCGUGGGAGUCUGAAUCAACCGAGAUGCUGUUUGAUCCUGGACAACCCAGUCCUAAGAUUCUAGUUCUAACAGGUCCAACACCUCCAGUACCAGGGGCCACCCCAUGGAUCUCCAUAUUUUGCUAACUGAAUUCAAUACAAAAAUAUAAAAUUCCAAG